CCUACGGGAGGCUGCAGUGGGGAAUAUUGGACAAUGGGGGGAACCCUGAUCCAGCCAUGCCGCGUGUGUGAAGAAGGCCCUCGGGUUGUAAAGCACUUUCAGUGAGGAAGAACGCCUGGUGGUUAAUACCCAUCAGGAAAAACAUCACUCACAGAAGAAGCACCGGCUAACUCCGUGCCAGCAGCCGCGGUAAUACGGAGGGUGCGAGCGUUAAUCGGAAUUACUGGGCGUAAAGCGCGCGUAGGUGGCUUGAUAAGCCGGUUGUGAAAGCCCCGGGCUCAACCUGGGAACGGCAUCCGGAACUGUCAAGCUAGAGUGCAGGAGAGGAAGGUAGAAUUCCCGGUGUAGUGGUGAAAGGCGUAGAGAUCGGGAGGAAUACCAGUGGCGAAGGCGGCCUUCUGGACUGACACUGACACUGGGGUGCGAAAGCGUGGGUAGCAAACAGGAUUAGAUACCCCGGUAGUC
rnacentral:rRNA from 1 species